UACGUAGGGUGCAAGCGUUAAUCGGAAUUACUGGGCGUAAAGCGUGCGCAGGCGGUUUUGUAAGUCUGUCGUGAAAGCCCCGGGCGUCAACCUGGGAAGUUGCGAUGGAGACUGCAAGGACGUUGUAAUACUGGCGAGAGGGGGGUAGGAAUUACCACCGUGUAGCAGUGAAAUAGCGUAGAGAUGUGGAGGAACACCGAUGGCG
rnacentral:rRNA from 1 species